GGCCUUUUGGGAGCUCACUGGCUUUGGGUUCCAUCAGAACUUCGAAGUUAAGUAAGUUCGCGCGAGAGCAAUCCCAGGAUGGGUGACCCACUGGGAAGUUCUCGUGUGAGUUCCUAGAAACAAAACCAUGAGGGCGUGGUCGAGGCCCAAAGCGGACAAUAUCGUGUUACGGCGGAGUCGAGCCUGUGAUGUGGUGGGAGCCUAGGCCGGGAUGUGGCAAUUUGGUAUCAGAGCCAAUCCCUGGCUAGAUGUGUGUCAACGAGGACGUCGAGCCCCUAAGGGGGAUGGAUUGUGACGUCCCACAUCACUCAGGGGAGUGGAUCCUAUAAGCCUUAUAUGUAUAUUCCCAUCUCUACCUAGCACGAGGCCUUUUGGGAGCUCACUGGCUUCGGGUUCCAUCGGAACUUCGAAGUUAAGCGAGUUUGCGCAAGAGCAAUCCCAAGAUGGGUGACCUAAUGGGAAGUUCUCAUGUGAGUUCCUAGA
rnacentral:sRNA from 1 species